rnacentral:rRNA from 1 species
GGGUUGUGAGGUUAAGCGACUAAGCGUACACGGUGGAUGCCCUGGCAGUCAGAGGCGAUGAAGGACGUGCUAAUCUGCGAUAAGCGUCGGUAAGGUGAUAUGAACCGUUAUAACCGGCGAUUUCCGAAUGGGGAAACCCAGUGUGAUUCGUCACACUAUCAUUAACUGAAUCCAUAGGUUAAUGAGGCGAACCGGGGGAACUGAAACAUCUAAGUACCCCGAGGAAAAGAAAUCAACCGAGAUUCCCCCAGUAGCGGCGAGCGAACGGGGAGGAGCCCAGAGCCUGAAUCAGUGUGUGUGUUAGUGGAAGCGUCUGGAAAGGCGCGCGAUACAGGGUGACAGCCCCGUACACAAAAAUACACAUAUUGUGAGCUCGAUGAGUAGGGCGGGACACGUGGUAUCCUGUCUGAAUAUGGGGGGACCAUCCUCCAAGGCUAAAUACUCCUGACUGACCGAUAGUGAACCAGUACCGUGAGGGAAAGGCGAAAAGAACCCCGGCGAGGGGAGUGAAAAAGAACCUGAAACCGUGUACGUACAAGCAGUGGGAGCACGCUUAGGCGUGUGACUGCGUACCUUUUGUAUAAUGGGUCAGCGACUUAUAUUCUGUAGCAAGGUUAACCGAAUAGGGGAGCCGAAGGGAAACCGAGUCUUAACUGGGCGUUAAGUUGCAGGGUAUAGACCCGAAACCCGGUGAUCUAGCCAUGGGCAGGUUGAAGGUUGGGUAACACUAACUGGAGGACCGAACCGACUAAUGUUGAAAAAUUAGCGGAUGACUUGUGGCUGGGGGUGAAAGGCCAAUCAAACCGGGAGAUAGCUGGUUCUCCCCGAAAGCUAUUUAGGUAGCGCCUCGUGAAUUCAUCUCCGGGGGUAGAGCACUGUUUCGGCAAGGGGGUCAUCCCGACUUACCAACCCGAUGCAAACUGCGAAUACCGGAGAAUGUUAUCACGGGAGACACACGGCGGGUGCUAACGUCCGUCGUGAAGAGGGAAACAACCCAGACCGCCAGCUAAGGUCCCAAAGUCAUGGUUAAGUGGGAAACGAUGUGGGAAGGCCCAGACAGCCAGGAUGUUGGCUUAGAAGCAGCCAUCAUUUAAAGAAAGCGUAAUAGCUCACUGGUCGAGUCGGCCUGCGCGGAAGAUGUAACGGGGCUAAACCAUGCACCGAAGCUGCGGCAGCGACGCUUAUGCGUUGUUGGGUAGGGGAGCGUUCUGUAAGCCUGUGAAGGUGUGCUGUGAGGCAUGCUGGAGGUAUCAGAAGUGCGAAUGCUGACAUAAGUAACGAUAAAGCGGGUGAAAAGCCCGCUCGCCGGAAGACCAAGGGUUCCUGUCCAACGUUAAUCGGGGCAGGGUGAGUCGACCCCUAAGGCGAGGCCGAAAGGCGUAGUCGAUGGGAAACAGGUUAAUAUUCCUGUACUUGGUGUUACUGCGAAGGGGGGACGGAGAAGGCUAUGUUGGCCGGGCGACGGUUGUCCCGGUUUAAGCGUGUAGGCUGGUUUUCCAGGCAAAUCCGGAAAAUCAAGGCUGAGGCGUGAUGACGAGGCACUACGGUGCUGAAGCAACAAAUGCCCUGCUUCCAGGAAAAGCCUCUAAGCAUCAGGUAACAUCAAAUCGUACCCCAAACCGACACAGGUGGUCAGGUAGAGAAUACCAAGGCGCUUGAGAGAACUCGGGUGAAGGAACUAGGCAAAAUGGUGCCGUAACUUCGGGAGAAGGCACGCUGAUAUGUAGGUGAAGUCCCUUGCGGAUGGAGCUGAAAUCAGUCGAAGAUACCAGCUGGCUGCAACUGUUUAUUAAAAACACAGCACUGUGCAAACACGAAAGUGGACGUAUACGGUGUGACGCCUGCCCGGUGCCGGAAGGUUAAUUGAUGGGGUCAGCGCAAGCGAAGCUCUUGAUCGAAGCCCCGGUAAACGGCGGCCGUAACUAUAACGGUCCUAAGGUAGCGAAAUUCCUUGUCGGGUAAGUUCCGACCUGCACGAAUGGCGUAAUGAUGGCCAGGCUGUCUCCACCCGAGACUCAGUGAAAUUGAACUCGCUGUGAAGAUGCAGUGUACCCGCGGCAAGACGGAAAGACCCCGUGAACCUUUACUAUAGCUUGACACUGAACAUUGAGCCUUGAUGUGUAGGAUAGGUGGGAGGCUUUGAAGUGUGGACGCCAGUCUGCAUGGAGCCGACCUUGAAAUACCACCCUUUAAUGUUUGAUGUUCUAACGUUGACCCGUAAUCCGGGUUGCGGACAGUGUCUGGUGGGUAGUUUGACUGGGGCGGUCUCCUCCUAAAGAGUAACGGAGGAGCACGAAGGUUGGCUAAUCCUGGUCGGACAUCAGGAGGUUAGUGCAAUGGCAUAAGCCAGCUUGACUGCGAGCGUGACGGCGCGAGCAGGUGCGAAAGCAGGUCAUAGUGAUCCGGUGGUUCUGAAUGGAAGGGCCAUCGCUCAACGGAUAAAAGGUACUCCGGGGAUAACAGGCUGAUACCGCCCAAGAGUUCAUAUCGACGGCGGUGUUUGGCACCUCGAUGUCGGCUCAUCACAUCCUGGGGCUGAAGUAGGUCCCAAGGGUAUGGCUGUUCGCCAUUUAAAGUGGUACGCGAGCUGGGUUUAGAACGUCGUGAGACAGUUCGGUCCCUAUCUGCCGUGGGCGCUGGAGAACUGAGGGGGGCUGCUCCUAGUACGAGAGGACCGGAGUGGACGCAUCACUGGUGUUCGGGUUGUCAUGCCAAUGGCACUGCCCGGUAGCUAAAUGCGGAAGAGAUAAGUGCUGAAAGCAUCUAAGCACGAAACUUGCCCCGAGAUGAGUUCUCCCUGACUCCUUGAGAGUCCUGAAGGAACGUUGAAGACGACGACGUUGAUAGGCCGGGUGUGUAAGCGCAGCGAUGCGUUGAGCUAACCGGUACUAAUGAACCGUGAGGCUUAACCUUACAACGCCGAAG